UGUCUUCUAAGAAGAAAGAAAAACAAACGCGGGUAACGAUGUCUGAAAAAUCGACUAUGCUCUGGCUGAUUCUUGGCUCUCUCUCGCUGGUCGUGUCUGAUGUUGAAGCCAGGGGUCGACCACUGUACGGCCGAAUGCCAAUUUCCGCCUACUCCGGUCCCGGCCCCGCCUGGAGGAGUGCCGCUCCCGCUAGCCUGAUCGCCGAGACGCUGGGCGAGGAUAUAUGCAAUCACUGUUUCUGCCAAAGGAACACAGUUACAUGCGAUUUUCAGCGGAAUCAAACGCUCUCCGCAAAAUGGGAUUCCAAGUAUUUUGUCCCAGUGGCCAUAACUGCCAUGAGAAUACGCCUGGCCGGUGGGACACAAUUUGAGCUGCACAGCGAGUUCUUUCGCAGGAAUCGCGUAAAUUUCUUCGGCAUCGAGGGCCUGGGGAGCACGGAGAGCGAUCAGGUGGAGUUCACAAAGAACGCAUUUCAGAACAAUCUUGGUGGAUAUCCGGACAUACAAGUGCGCAAAGUCCAACGGGUGUUUAUACGCGAGGGAGCCUUCUCAGGCGGGGAGUUUGUGCUGCGGGUGGAGAACAGCCAGGAUGUGGUGGUAUUUCCACGUGCCUUUCAGAACAUGAACAUUUCCUGUACCUUUCGGCAAGUGGAGAAUCUCGAGAUGAAGGAGAAGACCUUCUAUCCCAACACGAACAGCAGUGCCAAGUCUUUGGUGAAUCUACGCAUCGAAGACACAGGAAUCGAACAGAUUGGCAGCUUUGAUGUCUCGAUGCGAAAGGUGAGCUUUGUGAGGGCCAGGAUCGGCAGGAUCCAGACGAACGCAUUCGAUGUGACCGAAAUCAAAGAGCUGUCGUUCGAGGACUGCCACAUUGGAACGAUCGAGGCGCGGGCCCUCACCAGUAAGCUCCUAAGCGAUCACGUGUCCUUCAAGGGCACGACCAUCGGAAUGAUUGACAGCGAGGCAAUCAUUGACUGCGGCAUCUCCCGACUGACGCUCAAGAACAACACCAUCAUGAAAAUCAAAUCAAAUGCCAUGCAAAUCUAUAGCGUGUUCGUUUUCAUUCAGGACAACACCGUACAGCACACGGAGCACAAUUGGCUGCGCGUAAAGGACGGCGAGCAUAUUGUCAUCGAGAACAACAGCUUUGGGCAUUUCAAUCAGUUCGGCUUGGAGCUGGCCAAGCUGUCGAAGCCCUUCAACUGCACCUUUGCCAACAAUCGACUGGAGGAUCCGGAGCAGAGUAGCCUGAAUUUCAGCAACUGCGAGGUUCAUCGCAUCACGGUGGGGCAUGACUGUAGCUGCGACAACGAAUGGAUGCACCGGCUCACCGAUCACGAUCUCGACUCGGAGAUAAUUUGUCCCCUGAUCGCCAGCGAUCGGGGAUGUUUCAAUGCCAGCAGUGUCAACAGGCGGCAUUUCGUACACGAAGCGUGCAGCGGUAGCGGACGCGCCAAUAAUUUGACGCGCCAUUGCACCAAUGGCCAGUGGUCGACACGAACCGCCAGCGAUGGCGGUGGCGGUAGCCUUACCAUCCGCCAGAUAGCUAGUGGGAUAGUGGUAAUCCUUGUCUUUGUGGUGGUGAUAGCAGGGCUUAUGGGCUGUUGGACGAAGGGAAAGAGCGGCAACAGCUCGACCUCGGGCUCUGGGAAUGUGGACCUGUGCAGCUUCACACAUGAUGAGCAGCGCACCAUGCUCAAGCAGACAGAGUCACUGCGUGACGGCGACAGGACUGGGAAGAGCAUCCGGAAGCUGGCAAGCGGAAAGUUGACUCGCGUCGAGUGCAAGAACCAGGUGAUCGAUACCAUCAAGGAGAUGCCCAAUGGGUCCUCCACUAUCAAGGAACUGCUCACCCAGCAUCUGUUGGACUGCCACGACACCAGCGGCAGCAACAGCCACAGCAACAGCAACAGCAACAGCAGCCGCACCAGUCCAACGGCCCCGGGAGAGGACUACUAUGCCACAUCGGCAAUGCCCCACGACAGGCCGACUGCGUCGGCGGCACCCAGUGCCCCCAAUUACGAGGAACCCAUCUAUGAAGAGCCGCAACAGCCGCUGUGUGAGCCGCUGCUAACAAGCGAAUAUUCGUCGCCCUCGGACCCGAUGACCGAGACUCCCGUCUACUCGGAACCCAUCAAUUCCACUGCCCCAUCGGCAUCCAGUAAGUACGGUUAUAGUUACAGCGUACUGCCCUCGUACGACUACAACCGUAACAGUAACAGCAGUGGCCGGCCCCGCCCACUCGAACCACAACCCCCUCGCACUAGUACUAGCACCCGUCCACAAAACCACCAGCAUCUCAACGAAUUCCAAACGACUGUAAACCUGUAAUCUUGGUAGUCCCGUAGUACCUGUAUUCAUGUAAUCCCCUAAUCGCAAAUACCAAUAUAUUUAUACUGUAUAUAAUAUGGAUAACCAAUAGAUAUCGAUAGAUUGAGUAUGUAUUAAGGUUGAUGGCACGUGUUUAAUCAAAAAAUAGCUUUAAAAACGUUAGUCGGAAAAAUAGAUAGACCUUACAAGCAGAGGAAGAACCGUUUGGAAGAAACCUAUAGGAGACACCCACAGGAAGUGGCGGGAACAGUAGGAACAGCUGAUGGACAUAUAAUAACAUAGGAUCCACAUGCACCCCACAAAGAAGCACAGGAUGAUCCACAAAUACCAUCCCUGCACUUUAUUUUAAGCAAACAAAGAUGUAUAAAUAUUUUAUGUAUUUAUGCAUGUACAUAUUUAUCCGCGCCCAAAGCAAGACACAUUUAAAUACACACACCUACACACACCUACACACACACACACACACACACACACACAAAGAAAAGGCAAUCUACACACACACGUAUGGAGCGCAUUAACCCAAGAUGAGAAUAACGAUAUACCCCCGGCCUAUCAGUAUGCCCUGCCCAUGCGACACCUGGGCACCCAAUUG